rnacentral:rRNA from 1 species
UACGUAGGGGGCUAGCGUUGUCCGGAAUCAUUGGGCGUAAAGAGCGUGUAGGCGGCCCGGUAAGUCCGCUGUAAAAGUCAAAGGCUCAACCUUUGAAUGUCAGUGGAUACUGCCGGGCUAGAGUCCGGAAGAGGCGAGUGGAACUCCCUGGUGUAGCGGUGGAAUGCGCAGAUAUCAGGAAGAACACCAACGGCGAAGGCAGCUCGCUGGGACGGUACUGACGCUGAGACGCGAAAGCGUGGGGAGCGAACAGG